AACUUCUGCUCCCCUUUCCCACAGAUCUUGCUGCUGACCAUGAUGGUGACAAAGAUCGAUGGAAGAGUAUACCGAAGCUGGCCUCACAGCCGUGUGACCUGGUAUAGAGCAUGUGGGGCAGGUUCAAAUAGGC
rnacentral:snoRNA from 14 species